AUGGUUUUCUGGAAGAACCUGGCCUUGGGCAUUUCUCACAGGAGAGGGAUCAGCUUCCAGCUGCACCCGGCGUCUGCGAGGAGCUUAGAGAGAGGGGGGCAGGGACCCCAAACACCCAUGGACUCUGCCUGGUGGGGGUCAAUGCACCAUGGGGAAACAAUUCUGUCUUUCGACACAUUUACUAAAUGAAACACCAUUUGCUCAGCAGAUGCCCACAUCCUGGAGAUGGUGUUGGAGGAGCCAGAGAAGCAACUUCCUUCUGAAACGUCCGGACUCAGGUCUGACCUUCGGAGCCAGGGAACAACAUCACACAGCUGCUCAGCCCUGCGUGGCCGGCAUUGCACGCGCAGAAAUGGAAUCUCAGAGACACUAAAGGACGUGCUGAGCUCUCUCGGCGGAAACGUGGCAGAGCCAGAAUAUCGAUUCAGGAAGCUCCUCCAAAUGCAUCCCAUUAUGGCAGAUGAUUGAUGGUCCCUUCCCCCUUUCUUUGGC
rnacentral:lncRNA from 1 species